GAGUUUGAUCCUGGCUCAGGAUGAACGCUAGCGGCAGGCCUAAUACAUGCAAGUCGAACGGUAACAUUGGUGCUUGCACCAGAUGACGAGUGGCGCACGGGUGCGUAACGCGUAUGCAAUCUACCUUUUACUAGAGUAUAGCCCAGAGAAAUUUGGAUUAAUCCUCUAUAAUAUCUUUAAGUUUCAUGACUUUUAGAUUAAAGUUUUAACGGUAAAAGAUGAGCAUGCGUCCUAUUAGUUUGUAGGUGAGGUAACGGCUCACCUAGACUACGAUAGGUAGGGGCCCUGAGAGGGGGAUCCCCCACACUGGUACUGAGACACGGACCAGACUCCUACGGGAGGCAGCAGUAAGGAAUAUUGGACAAUGGAGGCAACUCUGAUCCAGCCAUGCCGCGUGCAGGAUGACGGCCCUAUGGGUUGUAAACUGCUUUUAUGUAGGAAGAAACACUCUCACGUGUGAGAGCUUGACGGUACUACAAGAAUAAGGACCGGCUAACUCCGUGCCAGCAGCCGCGGUAAUACGGAGGGUCCAAGCGUUAUCCGGAAUCAUUGGGUUUAAAGGGUCCGUAGGCGGGCUAUUAAGUCAGAGGUGAAAGUUUGCAGCUCAACUGUAAAAUUGCCUUUGAAACUGGUAGUCUUGAAUUAUUAUGAAGUGGUUAGAAUAAGUAGUGUAGCGGUGAAAUGCAUAGAUAUAACUUAGAAUACCAAUUGCGAAGGCAGAUCACUAAUAAUAUAUUGACGCUGAGGGACGAAAGCGUGGGGAGCGAACAGGAUUAGAUACCCUGGUAGUCCACGCCGUAAACGAUGGAUACUAGCUGUUCGGAUUUAUCUGAGUGGCUAAGCGAAAGUGAUAAGUAUCCCACCUGGGGAGUACGUUCGCAAGAAUGAAACUCAAAGGAAUUGACGGGGGCCCGCACAAGCGGUGGAGCAUGUGGUUUAAUUCGAUGAUACGCGAGGAACCUUACCAGGGCUUAAAUGUAGUCUGACAGGCGUGGAAACAUGCUUUUCUUCGGACAGAUUACAAGGUGCUGCAUGGUUGUCGUCAGCUCGUGCCGUGAGGUGUCAGGUUAAGUCCUAUAACGAGCGCAACCCCUGUUGUUAGUUGCCAGCGAGUCAUGUCGGGAACUCUAACAAGACUGCCAGUGCAAACUGUGAGGAAGGUGGGGAUGACGUCAAAUCAUCACGGCCCUUACGUCCUGGGCCACACACGUGCUACAAUGGUAGGUACAGAGAGCAGCCACCUGGUGACAGGGAGCGAAUCCUUAAACUCUAUCUCAGUUCGGAUCGAAGUCUGCAACUCGACUUCGUGAAGCUGGAAUCGCUAGUAAUCGCGCAUCAGCCAUGGCGCGGUGAAUACGUUCCCGGGCCUUGUACACACCGCCCGUCAAGCCAUGGAAGCUGGGGGCACCUGAAGUCGGUAACCGCAAGGAGCCGCCUAGGGUGAAACUGGUAACUAGGGCUAAGUCGUAACAAGGUAACC
rnacentral:rRNA from 1 species